rnacentral:lncRNA from 1 species
ACUUAGUAUGGGACUCAACCACACUAGAAUAUCAUCAUUCAUCACUUUCUUUCAUUCAUUAACUUGAUGGACCUUUGUUAUUUUAUACUAUCACACACACAUAUAUGUACAAGGGUGGACUAAUCUUGUUAUCAAGAGUCAAACAAUGAUCUAAUGAAGUCCACUCAUUUGAAGCAUGAUAUCACAUAUUCGAGUAUCAAAGUUUCGCUCAUGUUUAAUGAAUUCAAAUUUAUUCAACUAGUUUUAUGAUAAACAUUGUAAGGGACACCCCUUUUGUUGCACAAACAUGUUUUAACAUCACAACUGCAUGCAACAUACUAAUUGUUUACAUAAAAAAUGUCUUUUUCCUAUUGCUAUUGGGAAAUGCUUAUUAAUAUGUUAAAUUGCAAAUUGUACAUUUUUUCUUAAAAACCAAACCGAUACCGUUUGAAACUGCACCAAACCGAACCAAACGGUUUGGUUUCAUUUCGGUUUUGGGUUCAAAACCGCACCAAACUGAACCGCAAAAAAUUUUGGUUUCGGUUUCACUCAAAACCGCACUAAACCAAACCGUGCCCACCCCCACUCUCAUGUCCUCACCGAUGAUUUGUACGGAUAUUUGGUUCGUAAGGGUGGCGACUUCAGCUCCGCUACUUGUCCUUUUUACCUGUUCUUAAGUACCGAGUCUAUCCCUUGUGCUUUUUAGGGGUUCUGGCAUUUGGCCAGUGACCUCGAUCCCUUUGUAUCUUCUACGUGAUUUGUAGAAGUCAAAUCCUAGGUUUGUAAAACAAAUCAUUUUUAAACAUACUUAAACAACAGGUAGUGUGAACGGGAAAUUAUAUAUUACAAAAAGAACAAAUCCUAGGUUUGUAAAACAAAUCGUUUUCAAACAUACUUAAACAAAAGGUCGUGUGAACGGGAAAUUAUAUAUUACAAAAAGGACAAAUUAUAGGUUUGUAAAACAAAUCAUUUUCAAACAAACUUAAACAACAGGUGGUGUGAACGAAAAAAUUAUAUAUUACAAAAAGUCUUCACCACUGCCACAUAUAUCAAUUUCACACACGUCAGAGUAUUUGAACAUUACAGAGACAAAGUGCGAACACUUACGAUAAGAUUCUUAAUUUGGUCCAAUUAUUCUUAUAUUAUAACUUAACUCAUGUGCGUUUCAACCUUUACAUGUUCAAAUGAGUUAAUAAGUAUGGCAUUAAAUAAUUCAAUUAGAAGCGUAUUCAAGCUUGAAUCUUACAUAAGUUAGAGUUUUCACGUCUCAUUAAUGCGUGGUACCUGUUAACCACUAAUAUAUGUGAAAUUAAUUAACGAAAAAUGAAAUAAUCAACGGUGACAACAUUCAAACUCACACAUGGACGUAUACAUUUAGUGUUGUUAUAAUCUACACUUAUCUCUUUAGAUUCCUAAAUUAUUUUUUUGUUCUUUAAUAAUAUUUAGAAUAAUAUAAAAACAGCAUGUAUCUUCAAAUUUACGAGAUUCUAAAUAAAUAUUAUAAAAUCAAUUCAAAACAUACAGCGGAUCCAAGAAAUAAUAUUAGGGGGGUCAGUAAGAAUAGCGCGCGCAACGCGAAAAUUUUUUUAUAUUAGAAAUAACAUGCAUAUUGUCAUUUCAUCAAGUCUUGUUAGGCCUGAAGUCAUUUGAAAAUGCAUACUACAUACAUGUUAAUGUAAGCAAGGGGUAGCACCCAAGGUAUUCAUGGACAUUCAUCAGAUUUUGGUAGGCCUGAAGUCGGUUGGAGGGCAAGUAUGAAGCCAACUCUAAUCUUCAAAAGGACAACACUCAAGGUAUCCAUGGACAUUCACUGAAGUUCGGAGGGUCAGCACUUAAGGUGUCUAUGGACGUUCAUCGAAGUUCGGGGGGUCAGCUGACCCCCCUUGCCCCUUAAUGGAUCCGCCAGUGUAUGCAUCACUUAAGAAUAGCUAAAAAUGAUUUCAUGCUUAAAAUUAGUUGAUACCAACGCUAGCCUUUGCUUGAAUUAUUAUUCAAAAGAAGAAAAAAGAGUUAAACAUAAGAAACCCAUAUUUACGAGAUUCUCUCACAUUGGUCAACAGACCUUUGUUUGAUUCAAGGGUGCUUUAGAUUUUGGCCCUUACAACUCAUUAUUUCUAGAUAAAAACUCAUCUAUCUUUAAAGAUCCAGUUUAAGCCCAAAUUUAAAAUUUGCAAAUAUAUGGGAACACUAUUGACCUAUUAAUACAAUUUACAUUCAUGCCACUCAUACUUUAUGGUCCCUUUUCCAAAUUCCUAAAUUUAUGCCAAAUUAAAAGUAGUAGAAAAAGUGAAAUAAAAUGUAAAAAGUGUUUGCAUUAACCAUAUCCAUGUCAAACAAGAAAAGUAGUUUUUUUUUUUUUUUAGUGAUAUAUUUUGUAGCAAUUUUACCCAUAUUAAUUGGUAGGUAAAUUAGUUUGUUCCAAUUAUUUAAAAAAAAAAUACUACACCUAUAUUAUAUAUUUUGAAUCAAAUAACAUUCCUCUAACUUGUAGGUAAAUUAUUUUCUAUGUAUUGUUAUAUAUGUUAGACACGUUUUGUUGUUGUAUAAACAUGAGUGGAACAUAAUAUUGUUGAUUUUAUACAUCAAACAACAUUUCUUUUGUUAUAGGUAAAUUAUUUUCCAUGUACAAGUACUUAUGUUAGGCACGUCUUGUUGUUGGUACAUACAAUAUUUUGUAUCAUUGUAAAGAAAGAUAUUACAUUACACCCAUGGUAUAAUUGUUGUAGGUAAAUUAUUGGAAAUUAAUUUGUAGUUAGGUAAUGAACAUUUUGCAUCAUUAGAAAUGAACAUUUCAAAUAGUAGGUAGGUAAAUUAAUUUGUUCUAAUUAUAUAAAAAAACAAAUUACACUACACCUAGUUAUAUUUAAUAUUUCCAAUUAUUAAAAAAAACUAUACUACACCCAACCAAAUAACAUUUAUCUAACUUGUAGGUAAAUUAUUUUCCAUGUAUUGUAAGAUAUGUUAGGCACGUUUUAUUGUUGUAUAAACAUGGGUGUAACAUAGUAUUUUUAAUACUAUGCAUCGAACUACAUUUCUUCUUAAUAUAGGUAAAUUAUUUUUCAUGUAUUAGUACAUAUGUUAGGCACGUUUUGUUGUUGGUAUAAACAUCAUUUUGCAUCAUUGUAAAAAAGAGAUAUUAUAUUACACCCAUGGUAUAAUUGUUGUAGGUAAAUUAAGGGUAAAUUACAUAGUAGCCCCUCAGGUUUGAGGUCUAUUACAACCUCAUACAACAACUUUAAAACAUUUCACUUUCAUACAUCCAGUACCAUUUUAUUUCAAAAUAACACCUCCGUUAGAUUUUCCAUCCAUUAGUCUGUUAAAUGCUGACGUGGCUACCACAUUUGUGCUGAUGUGGCUGCCACGUGGAAAAAAAUAUAUAUUUUUUUAAAAAACCUAAAUCUUCUAAAUAUUAAAAAAA